CCAGUUCGCGUGGAGCCAUCCUUGAAAUACCACCCUGGCAUGCUUGAGGUUCUAACUCUGGUCCGUGAUCCGGAUCGAGGACAGUGUAUGGUGGGCAGUUUGACUGGGGCGGUCUCCUCCUAAAGAGUAACGGAGGAGUACGAAGGUGCGCUCAGACCGGUCGGAAAUCGGUCGUAGAGUAUAAAGGCAAAAGCGCGCUUGACUGCGAGACAGACACGUCGAGCAGGUACGAAAGUAGGUCUUAGUGAUCCGGUGGUUCUGUAUGGAAGGGCCAUCGCUCAACGGAUAAAAGGUACUCCGGGGAUAACAGGCUGAUACCGCCCAAGAGUUCAUAUCGACGGCGGUGUUUGGCACCUCGAUGUCGGCUCAUCACAUCCUGGGGCUGAAGCCGG
rnacentral:rRNA from 1 species